UACGGAGGGUGCGAGCGUUGUUCGGAAUCACUGGGCGUAAAGCGCGUGUAGGCGGUUCGGUAAGUCUGAUGUGAAAGCCCGAGGCUCACCCUCGGAAGUGCAUUGGAAACUGCCGAGCUAGAGUCCCGGAGAGGAGGGUGGAAUUCCUGGUGUAGCGGUGAAAUGCGUAGAUAUCAGGAGGAACACCGGCGGCGAAGGCGGCCCUCUGGACGGUGACUGACGCUGAGACGCGAAAGCGUGGGGAGCAAACAGG
rnacentral:rRNA from 1 species